GAUGAAGAACGUAGCGAAAUGCGAUAAGUAAUGUGAAUUGCAGAAUUCAGUGAAUCAUCGAAUCUUUGAACGCACAUUGCGCCCCCUGGUAUUCCGGGGGGCAUGCCUGUCCGAGCGUCAUUGCUGCCCUCAAGCACGGCUUGUGUGUUGGGCCUCCGUCCUCCUCCCGGGGGACGGGCCCGAAAGGCAGCGGCGGCACCGCGUCCGGUCCUCGAGCGUAUGGGGCUUCGUCACCCGCUCUUGUAGGCCCGGCCGGCGCUUGCCGACACAUCAAUCUUUUUUCCAGGUUGACCUCGGAUCAGGUAGGGAUACCCGCUGAACUUAAGCAUAUCAAUAAGCGGGGGA
rnacentral:misc_RNA from 1 species